UGGGGAAUAUUGGACAAUGGGCGAAAGCCUGAUCCAGCCAUGCCGCGUGUGUGAAGAAGGUCUUCGGAUUGUAAAGCACUUUAAGUUGGGAGGAAGGGCUGCAAGUUAAUACCUUGUAGUUUUGACGUUACCAACAGAAUAAGCACCGGCUAACUUCGCGCCAGCAGCCGCGGUAAUACGAAGGGUGCAAGCGUUAAUCGGAAUUACUGGGCGCAAAGCGCGCGUAGGUGGUUUGGUAAGUUGGAUGUGAAAUCCCCGGGCUCAACCUGGGAACUGCAUCCAUAGCUGCCUGACUAGAGUACGGUAGAGGGUGGUUGAAUUUCCUCUGUAGCGGUGAAAUGCGUAGAUAUAGGAAGGAACACCAGUGGCGAAGGCGACCACCUGGACUGAUACUGACACUGAGGUGCGAAAGCGUGGGGAGCAAACA
rnacentral:rRNA from 1 species